CGUUGAUAUACGUUAAGGACUAAUGCUAGUAGCAUCAUUGCUACUCUCUUUAUCUAAAUGUCUGAAACUGAACUUACCUCCUGUUAUCUCCCCAGCAUGUUUCCCUCGUCCAAGUCCUCCAUGGUCUCCAUGCUCCUGGUCUUCAGCUCCUUCCCGAAUUCCUGGUUCUAACCUCAAAUCGCAAAUCGAGGAGCUGUUGGAGGCAGAGCUAUCAUUGAAGAACCUGUGUUCACCUCAUUCUGCAGAAGUGUGUUGGUGCAAGGUGGAUGGAGAUCUCAAGGCACUGCCCCAAAUGCAGAUCUGAAGAUUUUGUCAUCACAGAAGUUGCAGGCCUAUCCAAAGUUCUUGAAGUCACUAAGAGUUCUGUGUAACAGUAUGCAUUUUCCCACUUCCUGCAUUAAGUUCUAAUGUUCUUGAA
ensembl:lncRNA